rnacentral:rRNA from 1 species
UACGGAGGGUGCAAGCGUUGUCCGGAAUCACUGGGCGUAAAGGGCGCGUAGGUGGCUCUGUAUGUUUGCGGUGAAAGCCCGGGGCUCACCCCCGGGUCUGCCGUGGAUACUGCAAGGCUUGAGUACUGUAGAGGCAGGUGGAAUAUCGGGUGUAGCGGUGGAAUGCGUAGAGAUCAGAUAGAAGACCGGUGGCGAAGGCGGCCUGCUGGGCAGUAACUGACACUGAGGCGCGACAGCGUGGGGAGCAAACAGG